rnacentral:rRNA from 1 species
UACAGAGGGGGCAAGCGUUGUUCGGAAUUACUGGGCGUAAAGGGCGCGUAGGCGGCCUGUUAAGUCGAACGUGAAAUCCCCGGGCUCAACCCGGGAACUGCGUCCGAUACUGGCAGGCUUGAAUCCGGGAGAGGGAUGCGGAAUUCCAGGUGUAGCGGUGAAAUGCGUAGAUAUCUGUAGGAACACCGGUGGCGAAGGCGGCAUCCUGGACCGGUAUUGACGCUGAGGCGCGAAAGCCAGGGGAGCAAACGGG